AUGCCGCCCAUGGCGGCGGGGGCGCCGGAUCUGGCGCUGGGCCACGCCCAGCGGGAGGACCGGCCAGUGGUGGGUGGCUACUCUGGACAGGAGUGGAGCACCUUAAGAAGACGGGGGAGGGAGAUCCUUCGCCGUGCUCGUGAUCCGGAGGCUUGCCUGCGUCAUAUGCGGGAUAAAGUGAGUAAGUUUUUCAAUUCAGAGCUGGGCAAGGGGGAUUUGAAGGUGGCCAUGGCUGGGAUGACCGGCGCGGUGACGGAGGCGGAGUUCACGGCCUCUGAUUUUGCCAUGAAAGAUGCGGAUCCGGCGAGUAAAGGGGCGGAAGAAACUGCAGUUUCCCUGUGCGUUAAAUCCAAUUUGACCAUGGUUAAGGAGGGGCUCCUGUACCAGAUUAAUUUGGGGAUUAAUUCUGUUGAUUUGAGGGCGAAAUUUGGGGGUGAAGACAAGUAUUUGAGGGGUGAGUUUCAGGUUAUGCAGCAGGCCAUUUUUCAGUUUCAACAAGUGUGUUCGUUUCCUGCUCUCUGUUCUUUGUGUCUGAACCAGGUGAACCAGGGGAGGAUGGCAUCCGACAGGGAUCAGCAGCCACCCAACAUGGAAGCUACACGGCUGAAGCCUGCUGGUGCCCAGGGUGAUGAGCUCGGCGCUCCGGCGGUGGACUUGUCCACCCUCCUGCCACAGAGGGGAACCGCUGCUGUUGGGGGUCCGACUGGACUGAUGCUGUCCAUCACCCCCAGCGCCACCAUUGGCUUCUCGGCAGUCCCACAAGAUCCUCCGGCUCCUCGUAGGCAAGGCAAGCAAGUGGCCAUGCUGUCAGACGAGGAGGACGUGCCAAUCGUCAUCGACAUGGAGGCGGCCAUACAGGCAGUGAAGGGCAAGCUCGUCGUGGCUCGGGUGCUGUCAUAG
rnacentral:rRNA from 1 species